UCCACAUUUUAUGGGGACCCUGACCAGUGC
rnacentral:piRNA from 1 species